GCGGCGGACGGGUGAGUAACACGUGGGUAACCUGCCUGUAAGACUGGGAUAACUCCGGGAAACCGGGGCUAAUACCGGAUGCUUGAUUGAACCGCAUGGUUCAAUUAUAAAAGGUGGCUUUUAGCUACCACUUACAGAUGGACCCGCGGCGCAUUAGCUAGUUGGUGAGGUAACGGCUCACCAAGGCAACGAUGCGUAGCCGACCUGAGAGGGUGAUCGGCCACACUGGGACUGAGACACGGCCCAGACUCCUACGGGAGGCAGCAGUAGGGAAUCUUCCGCAAUGGACGAAAGUCUGACGGAGCAACGCCGCGUGAGUGAUGAAGGUUUUCGGAUCGUAAAACUCUGUUGUUAGGGAAGAACAAGUACCGUUCGAAUAGGGCGGUACCUUGACGGUACCUAACCAGAAAGCCACGGCUAACUACGUGCCAGCAGCCGCGGUAAUACGUAGGUGGCAAGCGUUGUCCGGAAUUAUUGGGCGUAAAGCGCGCGCAGGCGGUUUCUUAAGUCUGAUGUGAAAGCCCCCGGCUCAACCGGGGAGGGUCAUUGGAAACUGGGGAACUUGAGUGCAGAAGAGGAGAGUGGAAUUCCACGUGUAGCGGUGAAAUGCGUAGAGAUGUGGAGGAACACCAGUGGCGAAGGCGACUCUCUGGUCUGUAACUGACGCUGAGGCGCGAAAGCGUGGGGAGCGAACAGGAUUAGAUACCCUGGUAGUCCACGCCGUAAACGAUGAGUGCUAAGUGUUAGAGGGUUUCCGCCCUUUAGUGCUGCAGCAAACGCAUUAAGCACUCCGCCUGGGGAGUACGGUCGCAAGACUGAAACUCAAAGGAAUUGACGGGGGCCCGCACAAGCGGUGGAGCAUGUGGUUUAAUUCGAAGCAACGCGAAGAACCUUACCAGGUCUUGACAUCCUCUGACAACCCUAGAGAUAGGGCUUCCCCUUCGGGGGCAGAGUGACAGGUGGUGCAUGGUUGUCGUCAGCUCGUGUCGUGAGAUGUUGGGUUAAGUCCCGCAACGAGCGCAACCCUUGAUCUUAGUUGCCAGCAUUCAGUUGGGCACUCUAAGGUGACUGCCGGUGACAAACCGGAGGAAGGUGGGGAUGACGUCAAAUCAUCAUGCCCCUUAUGACCUGGGCUACACACGUGCUACAAUGGGCAGAACAAAGGGCAGCGAAGCCGCGAGGCUAAGCCAAUCCCACAAAUCUGUUCUCAGUUCGGAUCGCAGUCUGCAACUCGACUGCGUGAAGCUGGAAUCGCUA
rnacentral:rRNA from 1 species